GAUUUCUGAUGAACCGGAGUGGCCCGUUUCCUUUCAGGGAAUGAGUGCCGCUUUGAGUUUGUCAUCCUUCCAGAGAGCUGCGUCUACCGUUUACUCGGCCGGACGUAUGCGAUCUGGAUCUAUUACUUUGAAAAAAUUAGAGUGUUUAAAGCAGGCUUGCGCUAUGAAUACAUUAGCAUGGAAUAAUAAUUUAGGACUUUAUUCCUAUUUAUUGGUUUCUGGAGUAGAGUAAUGAUUGAUAGGGAUAGUUGGGGGUGCUAGUAUUCAUCGGCCAGAGGUGAAAUUCUUGGAUUCGAUGAAGACUAACUAAUGCGAAAGCAUU
rnacentral:rRNA from 1 species